rnacentral:rRNA from 1 species
CAGGAUGAACGCUGGCGGCGUGCCUAAUACAUGCAAGUCGAGCGAACGGACGAGAAGCUUGCUUCUCUGAUGUUAGCGGCGGACGGGUGAGUAACACGUGGAUAACCUACCUAUAAGACUGGGAUAACUUCGGGAAACCGGAGCUAAUACCGGAUAAUAUUUUGAACCGCAUGGUUCAAAAGUGAAAGACGGUCUUGCUGUCACUUAUAGAUGGAUCCGCGCUGCAUUAGCUAGUUGGUAAGGUAACGGCUUACCAAGGCAACGAUGCAUAGCCGACCUGAGAGGGUGAUCGGCCACACUGGAACUGAGACACGGUCCAGACUCCUACGGGAGGCAGCAGUAGGGAAUCUUCCGCAAUGGGCGAAAGCCUGACGGAGCAACGCCGCGUGAGUGAUGAAGGUCUUCGGAUCGUAAAACUCUGUUAUUAGGGAAGAACAUAUGUGUAAGUAACUG